CACACCCCUGCAACUGUGUGAGCUGCUGUGGGCUGAAGGAGUCCAACCAUGAAUCCAGCCCCAACAUAUUGCAGCACCACCUGCAAACUUCUGUUAUUAUUACACGAUCAGACCAGGCGCUUCGACAUAUUCAACAAGCAUGUUUUUUGUCCCACACAGAAAUGAAAUCCAGCAGCAGAGCAACGAGCAGACUCACGUUAUCAGAUUGGCUCGGGCUCGACACUAAACGUCUCUGCUAAGAAUACUAAAGUCUCCAUUAUAUUCAGCAGCUCGUCUCUGUCUGUCAGUUGUUUGCUGCAUGUGGCUUUUUAUAGACGUUUCUCCAUAAAACACCGCCAAGAGUGAGGCAGAGCUGUACAGUUGUAGCUGGACAGCUGAACAAAGGGAUGACUCGCUGUAAAGAGCAGAGCUGCAGAAUCAGCUCAUAAUUGUCUGCAGCUUUGCUACUAUAACAAUUAAA